rnacentral:rRNA from 1 species
UACGAAGGGGGCUAGCGUUGUUCGGAAUUACUGGGCGUAAAGCGCACGUAGGCGGACUUUUAAGUCAGGGGUGAAAUCCCGGGGCUCAACCUCGGAACUGCCUUUGAUACUGGAAGUCUUGAGUAUGGAAGAGGUAAGUGGAAUUGCGAGUGUAGAGGUGAAAUUCGUAGAUAUUCGCAAGAACACCAGUGGCGAAGGCGGCUCACUGGCCCGGAACUGACGCUGAGACGCGAAAGCGUGGGGAGCGAUCCGG